CCUGGUUGAUCCUGCCAGUAGCAUAUGCUUGUCUCAAAGUUUAAGCCCAUGCAUGGUAUAAGUCCACACGGCUGGAAAAGUGAAACUGCGAAUGGCUCACUGCGAAUGGCUCAUUAAAUCAGUUAUGGUUACCUGAAACGCUCACCCGCUACUUGGAUAACUGUGGCAAUUCUAGAGCUAAUACAUGCAAACGAGCGCUGACCUCCGGGGAUGCGUGCAUUUAUCAGACUUAAAACCCGCGCGGGGCGCUGCCGCGUGGUGGCCCCCGGCCUGUUUGGUGACUCUAGAUAACCUUGGGCCGAUCGCUCGCCCUCGCGGCGGCGACGACUCAUUCGAAUGUCUGCCCUAUCAACUUUCGAUGGUACUCUAUGUGCCUACCAUGGUGACCACGGGUAACGGGGAAUCAGGGUUCGAUUCCGGAGAGGGAGCCUGAGAAAUUGGCUACCACAUCCAAGGAAGGCAGCAGGCGCGCAAAUUACCCAUUCACGACACGGAGGUAGUGACGAAAAAUAACAAUACAGGAUCUUUCGAGGCCCUGUAAUUGGAAUGAGUGUACUUUAAAUCCUUUGGCCAGUACCAAUUGGAGGGCAAGUCUGGUGCCAGCAGCCGCGGUAAUUCCAGCUCCAAUAGCGUAUCUUAUUAAAGUUGCUGCAGUUAAAAAGCUCGUAGUUGGAUCUCGGGGCCGGGCUGACGGUCCGCCGAAAGGCGUGCUACCGACUGUCCCGGCCCCUGCCCUCGGCGCCCCCUCGAUGCUCUUGGUUGAGUGUCUUGCGGGGUUUUGCUGCAGUUAAAAAGCUCGUAGUUGGAUUUCGGGAGUGGGCUGGCGGUCCGCCGCGAGGCGUGCCACCGUCUGUCCCGUACCCCUGCCUCCCGGCGCUCCCCGGAUGCCCUUAGCUGGGUGUCCGACGGGGCCCGAAGCGUUUACCUUUGAAAAAAUUUAGAGUGUUCAAAAGCAGGCCCAGUUGCACGAAUACUGCAGCUAGGAAAAUGGAAUAGGACUCCGGUUCUAUUUUGUGGGUUUUCUCAAUGGACUGGGGCCAUGAUUAAGAGGGACGGCCGGGGGCAUUCGUAUUGCGCCGCUAGAAGGUGAAAAUUCUUGGACCGGCGCAAGACGGACGAAAGCGAAAGCAUUUGCCAAGAAUGUUUUCUCAUUAAUCAAGAACGAAAGUCGGAGGGUUCGGAAGACGAUCAGAUACCGUCGUAGUUCCGACCAUACAAACGAUGACGACUAAGCGAUCCGGCGGCGUUAUUCCCAUGACCCGCCGGGGAGCUACCCGGGGAAACCAAAGGUCUUUGGGUUCCGGGGGGAGUAUGGUUGCAAAGCUGAAACUUAAAGGAAUUGACGGAAGGGCACCACCAGGAGUGGAGCCUGCGGCUUAAUUUGACCCAACACGGGAAACCUCACCCGGCCCGGACACGGAAAGGAUUGACAGAUUGAUAGCUAUUUCUCGCUUCUGUGGUUGGUGGUGCAUGGCCGUUCGUAGUUGGGGGAGCGAUUUGUCUGGUUAAUUCCGACAACGAACGAGACCUGGCAGGCUAUAAAUAGUUUACGCGGCCCCGUGCGGUCGGAGUCCAAAACUUCUUAGAGGGACAAAGUGGCGUACAGCCACACGAGAUUGAGCAAUAACAGGUCUGUGAUGCCCUUAGAUGUCCGGGGCUGCACGCGCGCCACACUGAGCGGAUCAGCGUGUGCCUGCCCUUCGCCGACAGGCGUGGGUAACCCGCUGAACCCCGCUCGUGAUGGGGGAUUGGGGAUUGCAACUGUUUCCCAUGAACGAGGAAUUCCCAGUAAGCACGGGUCACAAGCUCGUGUUGAUUAAGUCCCUGCCCUUUGUACACACCGCCCGUCGCUACUACCGAUUGGAUGGUUUAGUGAGGUCCUUGGAUCGGCCCCGCCGGGGCUCCUCGCGGGCCCUGGCGGAGCNNNNNNNNGUUUUGCGUGGAGCCGUACCCUACACGGUUGCCCAACGAAAUCAACCCCCUUGCCCGAGG
rnacentral:rRNA from 1 species